AACGGACGCUGGCGGCAUGCCUAACACAUGCAAGUCGAACGAAGGCUUCGGCCUUAGUGGCGCACGGGUGCGUAACGCGUGGGAAUCUGCCCUUUGCUUCGGAAUAACAGUUAGAAAUGACUGCUAAUACCGGAUGAUGUCGCAAGGCCAAAGAUUUAUCGGUUGAGGAUGAGCCCGCGUAGGAUUAGCUAGUUGGUGGGGUAGUGGCCUACCAAGGCGACGAUCCUUAGCUGGUCUGAGAGGAUGAUCGGCCACACUGGGACUGAGACACGGCCCAGACUCCUACGGGAGGCAGCAGUGGGGAAUAUUGCACAAUGGGCGGAAGCCUGAUGCAGCAACGCCGCGUGCGGGAUGACGGCCGUCGGGUUGUAAACCGCGUUCGCCUGUGACGAAGCGUGAGUGACGGUAAUGGGUAAAGAAGCACCGGCUAACUACGUG
rnacentral:rRNA from 1 species